rnacentral:rRNA from 1 species
GAUGAACGCUGGCGGCGUGCCUAAUACAUGCAAGUCGAGCGAACAGAUAAGGAGCUUGCUCCUUUGACGUUAGCGGCGGACGGGUGAGUAACACGUGGGUAACCUACCUAUAAGACUGGAAUAACUCCGGGAAACCGGGGCUAAUGCCGGAUAACAUUUAGAACCGCAUGGUUCUAAAGUGAAAGAUGGUUUUGCUAUCACUUAUAGAUGGACCCGCGCCGUAUUAGCUAGUUGGUAAGGUAACGGCUUACCAAGGCAACGAUACGUAGCCGACCUGAGAGGGUGAUCGGCCACACUGGAACUGAGACACGGUCCAGACUCCUACGGGAGGCAGCAGUAGGGAAUCUUCCGCAAUGGGCGAAAGCCUGACGGAGCAACGCCGCGUGAGUGAUGAAGGUCUUCGGAUCGUAAAACUCUGUUAUUAGGGAAGAACAAAUGUGUAAGUAACUGUGCACGUCUUGACGGUACCUAAUCAAAAAGCCACGGCUAACUACGUG